GGCCCCUGGUAGUGGGCAGAGGCACCUUGAUGCUGGCAUUGUUCUUAUACCAGUCAGGGGCAGAGCAGAUGGCAGCCCUCUGUUCACCCUAGCUUGAUGCCUGGCUUGGUGGCCAAAGAUGUUUUAUGCCUAGGACUCAGAA